rnacentral:rRNA from 1 species
UACGGAGGAUGCAAGCGUUAUCCGGAAUGAUUGGGCGUAAAGCGUCCGCAGGUGGCAAUGUAAGUCUGCUGUCAAAGCGUCUGGCUCAACCAGAUAAAGGCAGUGGAAACUACAUAGCUAGAGUAAGGUAGGGGUAGAGGGAAUUCCUGGUGUAGCGGUGAAAUGCGUAGAGAUCAGGAAGAACACCGGUGGCGAAAGCGCUCUGCUGGACCUAGACUGACACUGAGGGACGAAAGCUAGGGGAGCGAAUGGG